UUUUCGUUAGUUGGUUUAAAUAAAUUCAUUUCAGAUUGCACUUGAAAAGUAUUAGAAAGUAUCAAGUAUACGCCAUGUGGAAUUCAUUGGCAACGGAACUCGGCGAAAAGGAACACGAACUGCAAGAGAAUGACAAAGAGACAAAAAGGAUGAGUAGAAAGCUACGAGAACUACGAUAGUAGAACUGCAAGACACGCGUCGCUUUGCGACUAUCUGUCGCUUACACCCUGUUAAUAUCGCUGCCCCCCGACGCCGACCCCAUCCUCCGAUCCAUUCACAAAGGUAGCCAAAAAUCAAAACGAGUUUGAAAGCAACAGCAGUUUGUCGUAGCAGCUGGGGCUGCCAGAAGAAACUACAACACUAGCCACUGAGAUGAGAGAGCAGCGGAGCGGCUUAUAACGCCAUUCAAAUAGUGAGCGCAAAAAAUUUAAAACCGAGAAAGAGACAAAAGGCAGAAACAAACUUGGAGCGUCGCGACGUUGCUAAUGCUGAUGGCGGCUAAGCUAAGAGAGCGAGAGAGAACACAUGGCGAAUAAUUACACAAAAUAAAAAUGAAAAGAAAAAACGAAUUUUGUUUGGCGCUCUCUCAGCCUGGCUGAUCCUGUCACUUUAUUGUUGAGACGACGCGCGUGCGAAAUGACAGGCGCCAUUUUUGCGUUGCCUAUCAACAGAGAGUGAGAGCACACGAAGCCACAAAGCGCGAGGUGAGAGAAGAGAGUAAGAAAGAGAAUUGGUUAUAAUAAUAUUAAUGGCAUUAGUUAGCUGGUGCAACGAAUACAAUUCGCAACGAAACAACAAAAAUCGAGCACACAAAACUCGACCUUCGCCUGGUCUGCGUCUAUGCGAUUCUUGGGCUGCAAUUGCAGCACAACAGGAGAAAAUCGGCCUCCAUUUCCCACUUCCAUUUCCACUUACACAUGCACAGAGCACAAAACGGAUUUAACGACACUGAUACACACACUCACACAAACAAACGCUUCUCACAAAUUGCACACACACUGUGACACAAACACUUCGCUGCUGCUCUCUGUAAAAUGACAAGCCGAAGCCGCCACCACCCUCUGCAACGAAGGCGAUGGAAGCAGUAACACAAAUGACAGCGACAACAAACAGCGAAUAAAGGAAAUAAAAGCGAAUCGCAAAUAACAAAAUCAAAAUGAAGUACACAUAAUGUAACAAAAAAAAAAAAAGAAAAUUGUUCACACACACACACACACAUGUAUCAAAGGCUCAACAGUCGCCUUCGCAUCAUUUGCGAAUUUUCCGCAUUUAUUGUUAUUCAAUUGAACCGAAAUCAAUUCGAAUUCGCAUUAGAAUUCAAAGUCGGUGGAAACGCGGUCAGUUUUACAUACAAAUGUACAAAAAAAACUGCACAAGUCAAAGCAGAGAAAAACAAAAAAAAAUAAUAAUAAUAAAAUAAAAUGCAGAACCCGAACCGACAGAGUUGUGAACGCAAACACGGUACGAAGUGAAAUAACAAGGCAAAAUGGCAGCGGACAACUUGUCAAAGAGAGCGAGAGAGAGAGAGACCAAGAGAACAAGAGAGCGUCACAGCGGCGAAAUAUGUAUUCGCCGCUGACUCUGACUCGACUACAUGCAAGUGCUACCUCCAAGAUAAUUUUAUGCUCUACACAAUAACCGUAACUUAAAAGCGCAACACAAUAACUUACAUUAAAGGACACGAAAACGGCAUAGAAAUGUUUAAUAAAUAUUACAUAGUCCACAAUAAUUACAGUAUGCUCUUGAACAAUGUAUGAAUAUA